rnacentral:tRNA from 2 species
UCUCCUGUAGCUCAAUUGGCAGAGCAGCCGACUGUUAAUCGGCAGGUUACUGGUUCGAGUCCAGUCGGGAGAG